rnacentral:rRNA from 1 species
GACGAACGCUGGCGGCGUGCUUAACACAUGCAAGUCGAACGGAAAGGCCCCUUUGGGGGUACUCGAGUGGAGAACGGGUGAGUAACACGUGAGUAACCUGCCCUUGACUUCGGGAUAACUUCAGGAAACUGGGGCUAAUACCGGAUAGGAAUCCUUGCUGCAUGGUGGGGGUUGGAAAGCUUCGGCGGUUUUGGAUGGACUCGCGGCUUAUCAGCUUGUUGGUGGGGUAGUGGCUUACCAAGGCUUUGACGGGUAGCCGGCCUGAGAGGGCGACCGGCCACAAUGGGACUGAGGUACGGCCCAGGCUCCUACGGGAGGCAGCAGUGGGGAAUAUUGCACAAUGGGCGGAAGCCUGAUGCAGCAACGCCGCGUGCGGGAUGACGGCCUUCGGGUUGUAAACCGCUUUCAGCAGGGGCGAAGCUUGUGGUGACGGUACCUGCAGAAGAAGCACCGGCUAACUACGUG